ACUCUCUUAGUAUAACCAAUAUAACUGACUUCCAAUUAGUAGAUUCUGAUAACACCCAGAAGAGAGUA
rnacentral:tRNA from 1 species